UCCCAUAUUGUCUAGUGGUUAGGAUAAGUGGCUCUCACCCAGGAGGCCCGGGUUCAAUUCCUGGUAUGGGAA
rnacentral:tRNA from 1 species